UAUAAUUUAUUUUAUUUAUUUAUACAAUAUAAAAUAUUUAAUAAUUUUAUUUCUUAAAUCUUCAUCCAAUCCAUCGGGUUUUAAAAAUCUAUACCGUUGGAUAAAGAUCUAAGGAAUAAAAAUUAUUAAAUAUUUUAUAUAUUGUAUAAAUAAACAAAAAUAAAUUACGUAUAUAUAUAUAUAUAUAUAUAUAUAAUUUAUUCGGGUUUGGAUUCGGAUAAUAUUUCGAAUUUUCAUAUCUAUUGACAUCCCUACUCCUUAUUUCACUUUUCAAUAUACAAAAAAUACGUAAGAAACACGGUAAACCAUUCACCGUGUUUAGACACGGUGAAUGAUUUACCGUGUUCAACUUAAUACCCUGGCCCCAGUCCUGCCCGCGUAGCGCUGACGGGGCGCCUGCGUGGCAGAGAGAGGGCCAUUUUUGCAAUUUUAAUUUUGAUAGGGCUAUUUUUAAAAUAAAAAUUGCUCAGGGGG
rnacentral:lncRNA from 1 species